UAACCGAGUUCACGGCCUCUAACCGCUACGGUUCGGGAAAGAACUUGUGCUCCCAAAGCUUCACUAUAUCAAUGAGGUUAUAAACACAACUAACUUGUGAUGUUUUGGUUAUUUUAUAGAUUUUGCACAAAAAGAAGAAAGAUCAAAGACAACAAAGAUGAUGAAGAAGAAACCUUACUAAAGAAGCUCUUAUUUGAAAUAAUCUAGGUUAUUUCUCUCUCUUUCUCUAGAAUAAUCUUUGUUGUCUUGUCUCACCUCACCUACCACCUUACUCGUAUCCUUUCUUUUUUUUUAUAUAUAAGUGUAGCAUUUGGAUCAAACACCAUCUUGUUCUCCUUUUUAUGCCAAAUUCGUCUGGUCCAAUAAGGUCCAUCUUUUGUGUUCUGUC
rnacentral:lncRNA from 1 species